UCCCUGCAUCUCCACCACUCAGCGCAGCCCCGAAAUUCCACCUUCGCGAGUCCCAGGAGUCCAUCGCCGCCACUGGAAUCUGGUGCGGGCGACCUCGAGAUCCACCAAUGGCAGACACGGGAAUCAACCCAUGUUCCGCCCAGGAGUCCAUCCAGGCUCCUCCUAUGAGUCCAUCCAAGAUCCUCCCUUCCCGUGAUGCCACCAUGGGGAGUCCAAUCUGAUCCGCCAUGGGAUUCCAGUGCAGGAAACCAGGAAUUCCACCCCUAAUUUUGGCGACCAGCUCCGCCCAUCGCACCUCCCCUGUUGGUUGAGCUCCUGUCAGAUGAGUAUCACUGAUCUUAAUUCAGAGGCUAGCUACUACUGAUAAAGAUCCUGACCAUGACCAUCCAAUGGAGUCUAAUCGCCUUCAUCGGGAUGCACCUGGUGUGUGCUAAUAUUUUUGUCCUUUGCUACGCACAAAAGCUCGUGGCCGGGAGAGCUGCAGUAUACGGCGGGCAGUCGAGUCCUCAGCAAAAGGCAGUGCCGUGAUGUGAAGCAGUAUUGCAGAGCUCGAGGGUGCAGAGUAGGAGCGAUGUUAUGAAAACCAAUGAUGGCUGCUCUAGACCUCCAUCUCCAGACCUCAAUGGAGU